rnacentral:rRNA from 1 species
CCUACGGGAGGCAGCAGUGGGGGAUAUUGGACAAUGGGGGGAACCCUGAUCCAGCGACGCCGCGUGAGUGAAGAAGUAUUUCGGUAUGUAAAGCUCUGUCAGCAGGGAAGAAAGCAAUGACGGUACCUGACCAAGAAGCCCCGGCUAACUACGUGCCAGCAGCCGCGGUAAUACGUAGGGGGCAAGCGUUAUCCGGAAUUACUGGGGGUAAAGGGAGCGUAGACGGCUGUGCAAGUCUGGAGUGAAAGGCGGGGGCCCAACCCCCGGACUGCUCUGGAAACUGUAUGACUGGAGUGCAGGAGAGGUAAGCGGAAUUCCUAGUGUAGCGGUGAAAUGCGUAGAUAUUAGGAGGAACACCAGUGGCGAAGGCGGCUUACUGGACUGUAACUGACGUUGAGGCUCGAAAGCGUGGGGAGCAAACAGGAUUAGAUACCCUGUAGUC